GCUUACGGCCAUACCACCCUGGAAAUAACCGAUCUCAUCUGAACUCGGAAGUAAAGCAGGGUCGGGCCUGGUUAGUACUUGGAUGGGAGACCGCCUGGGAAUACCAGGUGCUGUAAGCU
rnacentral:rRNA from 1 species